rnacentral:lncRNA from 1 species
GCCCACGGAACCACACUCGGCCAGGACUAGUCGCGCUCCCCGCUCGCGUCACAUGCUCUUACAAUCAGGACAAGGAUGCAUGCGAUGUCUAAGUGGAUUCUUCUCCUCCCGUGUCCAGCCUUAUCUUACAUAUUUGAUGAAGAAAGCACUCAAAUUCCCAUUCAUACGGCACCUACCUGCCUUCUGUGUCCUUCCUGCUAUGUGACCACUCUGCUCUGGAGGGAACUCGCGGCAGCCCAGCCCACGAAUGAGCUCUCGGUGGCGUUCAACUGCAGUUAGAGGUCGUGUCCCCACUUUUUUUUUUGGUGGGUGGGAGGGGGGGCAGAGAAGGUGACAGACACAUCAUAAAGCAUUGAAAACAUACAUAAAUUAAUAUUAGAAAACCAGUGGAGUUUACUAAUUUUGUUUCCUCCUCUACAUCUUUGUGUUACAAGUGCUACUUCAUUGUCUUGACAUCGGGCUCUGAGCUAGUGGUACUGACUUUGAAAAGCUUUCAUGCACUUCAUCUUUGAAUUGCACAUGCUUUUCUCUCAUUUUUAAGGCUUUCUUGCACUUUGGAGGAAACAUGUUCUGACAUGCUGGAGUUUGGUGAUGGUAAAUAUUUCCUUUGACUACAAAGUGCGUGUGUGAAAAAAACUUUUUUUUUUCCUGUCAUGGAGAUAUGGUUCUCACUCACUCCUGUCUCCGUUGUAGUUAAUAACCUGUAAACGAGCUGAAUCUGAAGGUCUGAGUGAAAUAGCACUUUUGGAACUGUACUUUUUGUCAUAACACGCUGAGGAAAGUGCAGAAGCUCUGUAUAUGCAUGUAUGAGAGGGAUUCAUGCCACGCAUAUGACAAUUUGCAUACUAGACUCUGGUGACAAAGAGGGACCGCAGGUGAAUCCCCAGCGAUCUGCUUUGUGGAGAGGAUUUUUUCCAGCCCCUAAUCACAGAGAAGUAUCCAGCUCUCCAUCUGCUUCCCAGAGUUGGCGGUUCUGAUUUGUUUCAAGUGAAAAUAACCAAGAAUAGAAAAUGGCACGUAAUAAAGAGUCCCAAGCCAAGCA